rnacentral:rRNA from 1 species
GAGUUUGAUCGUGGCUCAGAACGAACGUUGGCGGCGUGCUUAACACAUGCAAGUCGAACGAGAACGGUUUCUUCGGAGACCUAGUAAAGUGGCGCACGGGUGAGUAACACGUAGAUAACCUGUCCAGGUGUUCGGGAUAGCCCUUCGAAAGGGGGAUUAAUACCGGAUACGUUAGUCUGUUAUAAGGCAGAUUAAGAAAGGUGGCCUCUAUUUAUAAGCUAUCGCAUUUGGAGGGGUCUGCGUACCAUUAGUUUGUUGGUGGGGUAAAGGCCUACCAAGACUUCGAUGGUUAGCGGGUCUGAGAGGAUGAUCCGUCACACUGGCACUGAAACACGGGCCAGACUCCUACGGGAGGCAGCAGUGAGGAAUAUUGCGCAAUGGGGGAAACCCUGACGCAGCGACGCCGCGUGGGUGAGGAAGGCUUUCGGGUCGUAAAGCCCUGUCAGAAGGGAGAAAUGUGUAUAGGUUAAUAUCUUAUACAUUUGUACGGUACCGUU